rnacentral:RNase_P_RNA from 1 species
AGGAGCAGGGCGAUUGGCUGUCGGUAUCCCUUCGAGGACGCUGAGGAAAGUCCGCCCACUCGUGAAACACACGGUCCGAGAGGACGCCCAGCUGAACAGAAACGAGACCCUUUGGUGGGAUGAAACGGCGGCUGGAGAGUGCAACCUCUUAUGAGGGCUUAGUCGAAUGCCAAUGCAAUCCGGCUCUUAACGGGGCAAAACCCAUUUUGUUAGUGGGUUUCUGGAUUAGAACAGAAGGCGGCUUAUGCCCUGCACCU